CGUAGUCGUUUGCCGGAUUUCGGAUGUCGGAUUCGAUCCCAAAAGCUAAACCCCUAGCCCUGAGCCCUCCGGCGGCGUAGGAGAGAGUUAGGUGCGGUUAGGGAUCGGUGUAGAGGCCGGUGGAAGGCGGUACAGAAGUGGCUCCCUCAAAAGGACCCAGCACGACUCCUUUGUGCAGGGCCAGAAGCUGCGGCUCCUCUUCCUCGUCCUUCUGUUCUAGUACCGGUUCCGCUCGUUUCUAACCCCCCUGUAGCUCUUUCCCAGGACCUAUGACCUGGUCAAGAGCGAGCUGCGCGUGGAGCAGCUCGGCGGCCUCGAGAGGUGGAACAGGCACGCGCGGUUCUAGCUCUGCGUCCUCGCGCCGAAGCCCACGCAGGAGCUGAGGCAGCACCUCUUGAUGGAGCAGUACUGAGACCACAAGACGCUGUCCGCCAUGCCCGAGCAGAUGCUGCGGCGGUUCUUGAGCGAGAGUGACGAGGGGCGGUGGUACCUAAGGAAGCGCCCGAUGCUGUAGCGCAGCUCUCAACUAAGACACGGGAAGAAGAAGGACUCCCUUGGACGACAGGACGGUGCGCUGCUGCCAAGGAUGCUAGACAAGUUAGACCCCAAGGCAAAGCGAUGUGCGCUGUCUCACAACGUCCCCAGCAGCCCGUAGUAGAAGGCCACCAGCUCGGUACGGCGACCGUUCUUCACCUGCUUCGUCCUCCGCGCGAAGUCGGGCGUAUGGGUCCACGGCGCGGUCGGCCGCCUGUUUCAUCUGCGCCGGAAGUGAAAGUUUCCCUUCCAAAAGACCCGGCUAGAGUACGAACCGCGGUAACAGACACUGUACGGUAGGUGGCCAUGGUGAUGGUCCCUUCUGGAACUGGUGCACCUCGACCUGAAGUAAGUAGAAGGGCUCCUCACGGUUCCGGCACUGAAGAGGGCGUCAAUGGGGUUCCUAGCAGCCUGGUACCCGGGACAGCCCCUGAGGUAUUUCGAGUAGAGGUAACAGUGGUAGUCACCGCUGUUGGGGGCACUGUUGUGCGGGGGACGACUGCAACACGACGCCUCGACCUGAGACAGCGGUCUGGAAGUGAGUACCUGCUCUCUACUUCUGUACCUCGACGGGAACGGCGACGAGACCGUCAGCCUCCGGAUGUUCGCACUCUCCGACGGCGUCCGGUACGGCGUCACGGGUCAGGAGUUCCGGCUGCUCCUACCACAGGAGAUGGAGAACGACCCUCUAAUGAUGUAGCUAACCCUCCCUCCCCGAGCCGAUACGUCCCUCUAACUCACACACUAGUCGUAGUUGUACGCGUGUUUCAGAGAGGACAGGACGUCGGUAGCAGGCUAGUUUCUACCGAAUGGUCGCGGUGGCGGCACCUCUCAGCUCGGAAGGUUUCUAAAGGUAGGACUGUAUGGAUGGGACGAACGACAGUUCAAGACACGCUCGGUGUGACCUAACAGACUACCAGAAGACGUGUUCCUUUUCUUCUUAGCAGACUAUAUCUACCUUUUUUUCUUCUCGUCGAGUUGAGCACCGCGAAAGUUGUCACAUCGAGAACGAAGCUAACAACACCAAUUAAUGGAAGUCGAGGUCCGUAGAUAUAGAACAGAAAUUGCACAGGGACGUAAAUAGAUAAAAUAUUCAUCAAUUAAGCGACUAUCGGAAGACACGAAAAAUAUAGAUAAUCUCAGCCCCACACUACCAAAUUUAUACCGUGUCAACCUUCGUACCCACUUGAACAUUACCAGCAUCCGACACCAGACAACGAUGGAAGUAAUAUAUACAGACAUUACCGAGCAAAAGAACUACUCUACUUCCUGACUUAGGAGAACAAUACAAAUAGUACGAGACGACGACUUACUUCGGACU
rnacentral:rRNA from 1 species